AACGAACGCUGGCGGCGUGCUUAACACAUGCAAGUCGAACGCGAAAGUUUUCUUCGGAAGACGAGUAGAGUGGCGCACGGGUGAGUAACGCGUAGAUAACCUGUCUUCGUGUCUGGAAUAAUACACCGAAAGGGGUACUAAUACCGGAUAAUCUUGCUUUUCAUAAGUUUUGCAAGCAAAGGUGGCCUCUGACUUAAGCUACUGCAUGAAGAGGGGUCUGCGUACCAUUAGCUAGUAGGUGGGGUAAAGGCCUACCUAGGCAACGAUGGUUAGCGGGUCUGAGAGGAUGAUCCGCCACACUGGCACUGGAACACGGGCCAGACUCCUACGGGUGGCUG
rnacentral:rRNA from 1 species